ACUUUUUAAAAUAUGCAACAAAUACAAUAGAAAAAAAAAACUACCUCUCCUGAUAUUAUUCUGUCAAUAUGAAUCGUGGUUAAUAACUGCCAAAAGAAAAAAAAAAACAAAAAAACAGAACAACGCUUCUUGAACAACCUCGCCAUAACCUCUCCAUAGCUUCUUGAACAACCUCGCCAUAGCAGAUAGCACACAAUCCCAUAAUCCAAAUUCUUCCAUCACAAUUCCACCUUUGCUUUCGUAAAAUUCAUAAUCAGGGCGCUCUCAUAUUGUUCAAUUCGUCAAUUUGUGAUUCAUUCGGCAAUUCUUUUCGCUAUAAUCAGGCUUCUCACCAAGCAUCUCCUCCUCAACCUUCGGCCAAAAGCCCAAAGACCCCUCCCUCUUCUCCUACAACUGCAAAACCCACGACAACCCAAGAUAUUUAUUUUUCCUUCCACAUCAAUUCACGUUCUUCGAAUUCGACGAGCAGAGAAAAAUGAUUUCACCUUUUUCGAUGAUACCGGAUAUCUGGAUCUUCCCAGGAAACUCAGGGAGUCUUCGUGAGGCAUAAAUCAUAUUCAUAAUGGCCAUGGUAGAUGAACCGCUAUACCCAAUUGAUGUUCUAAUUGAUGAGCUGAAAAAUGAGGAUAUUCAGCUUCUGUUGAAUUCGAUUCAUUGUCUUUCAACCAUUGCUCGAGAAUUCGAAUAUUUCGUACUAUAAACCUAUGAAAGAUCCAGAAUUCUAUCUUGCCUCCAUAACCUAUAUUAGUUCAAGGUCUUCAUUUUAUCCCAUUUGUUUGGCACAGGAAACUCAAGGAGUGUGUGUUGCUGGAUAUAGGACUAAUGAGUUUCCUGCCUUCUUUACUGAAACAAGUGGCUGUAAGGUUUCUUGUCGCAUAAACUCCCUGAAGAUGCUGCUCUCUUAAUAGACGCCAACACAAAACUCAAGCUAGGAACUGGUAUACUUAUUGCAGUUCCUAUUCCGAAAGAACAUUCUGCUUCUGGAAGCUUUGUUGAAUCUGCAAUACAGAGAGCUUUCUCAUAAAAUUUCUCAAUUAUAAUUAAGUUAAAAUCUGCUUGUAGUAUCUCUAAUUCAGUCUUAAUGCGAAUUCAUUUGGAACAUUUUUCAGGGAACAGAACAUAAAGGGAAGUGCUGAAACCCCAUUCUUGGUUUCAAAAGUAAACGAAUUAACUGGAGGAGCUUCAUUGACUUCUAAUAUCGCUCUUGUGAAGAAAAAUGCAGUUGUAGGAUCCAAGAUUGCUGUUUGUCUUUCCCAAUUAAGAGGAUAUAAUUGUCAAGUCAAAUCUUGAUGGUCGUCUAUGCUCGGGAUCUUUGGGUACAUGGCUGGUACUUUCUUGGGAUUCCUAGCACUUAUUCGCAAGAGAUGAUUGACGAGCUAAGAAAUAUGUGGGUGAAAUAUUUAAACAAUCAAACACGAGACGAUGGAGAUUGAAGACAAUGGUCAAGUUUCAAUUGUACAUAUUAUUUGCUCAAGUUAGAAUUUUAAUUUUCAUAGAUAUCAUUAGAUUAUAGAAAUUUUAUUUUUGAGACAUUAAUUAUUGGAAUAUAUUGAUGCGUUGACUAGUGAAAUUGAUUUUGUAUGUAAAUUAAAUGUAGCAAUUAUUUUUUACAUUAUUAAUAAAGCAAGCAGAAAUUUUUGUUUCAUAA